CGCCCAUCAGCUAGCUCCUACCCCCAAAAACAACAUAAAAACCUUAAUACACCCAAAUACCCCCCCCCCACUUCACCUAAACAAAACAUUUUCCCACCCUAGUACGGGAGACAGAAAAGGAUUUCAGAAGCUAUAGAAAAAGUACCGCAAGGGAACGCUGAAAGAGAAAUGAAAUAACUCAGUAAAGCACAAAAAAGCAGAGAUUAACACUCGUACCUUUCGCAUCAUGAUUUAGCCAGUAGACCCAAGCGAAGAGAACUUUAGUUUGACACCCCGAAACUAGAUGAGCUACUCCAAGACAGCCUAUCAAUAGGGCAACCCCGUCUCUGUGGCAAAAGAGUGGGAAGAACUUCGAGUAGAGGUGACAGACCUAUCGAAUCUAGUUAUAGCUGGUUGCCCGAGAAAUGGACAGAAGUUCAGCCUCCGGCCUUCUUCACUCACCAAACAAAGCCAUUUAGGCCCCACAGACAACAAGAAGCUCAGAGAGUUAGUCAAAGGGGGUACAGCCCCUCUGACCCAAGAUACAACUUUUUAGGGAGGAAAAAGAUCACAAUAACCAAAGGAAAAUAUCCCGGUGGGCCUAAAAGCAGCCACCCGAACAGAAAGCGUUAAAGCUCAAACAUCCACUCAACCUAGUUAUUAUGAUAACCCCAUCUUAAGCCCCCAAUCCUACCGGGCCUUCCCAUGCAACCAUGGGAGGGACAAUGCUAAAAUGAGUAAUAAGAGGGCCCCACGUCCCUCUCCCCGCACACAUGUAAAUCGGAUCGGACUCUCCACCGAACCUUAACGACCCCAAACAAUAGAGGGCACUGAAUAAAAUUCAACAACUAGAAAAAUAUUCAACCUCCCCCCGUUAACCCCACACUGGUGUGCAACCAAGGAAAGACCAACAGAAAAAGAAGGAACUCGGCAAACACAUUAAGCCUCGCCUGUUUACCAAAAACAUCGCCUCUUGUAUUACAACAAAUAAGAGGUCCCGCCUGCCCAAUGACUACAUGUUCAACGGCCGCGGUAUACUGACCGUGCGAAGGUAGCGCAAUCACUUGUCUUUCAAAUGAAGACCUGUAUGAAUGGCAUCACGAGGGCUUAACUGUCUCCUUUUUCAAGUCAAUGAAAUUGAUUUCCCCGUGCAGAAGCGAGGAUACUUACAUAAGACGAGAAGACCCUAUGGAGCUUUAGACACUAAGACAGACUACGUUAAACACCCCCUAAUAAGGGGCUAAACUUAAUAGCCCCUGUCCUGAUGUCUUUGGUUGGGGCGACCAUGGGGAAACAAAAAACCCCCACGUGGACAGGAAGCACUACCAAACAAAACCUGCUACAACCCAGAGCCCCCGCUCUAAUAACCAGAAAUUCUGACCAACAAGAUCCGGCAAGGCCGAUCAACGGACCGAGUUACCCUAGGGAUAACAGCGCAAUCCCCUUCCAGAGCCCAUAUCGACAAGGGGGUUUACGACCUCGAUGUUGGAUCAGGACAUCCUAAUGGUGCAGCCGCUAUUAAGGGUUCGUUUGUUCAACGAUUAAAGUCCUACGUGAUCUGAGUUCAGACCGGAGCAAUCCAGGUCAGUUUCUAUCUAUGACAUAUUCUUUUCUAGUACGAAAGGACCGAAAAGAAAGGGCCCCUGCUCUAAGCACGCCCUACCCUUACCUAUUGAAAGCAACUAAAAUAGGCAAAAGGGGUAAACCCAGUUGCUUGAGAAAAUAGCAU
rnacentral:rRNA from 1 species